GCCGGGCGCGGUGGCGUGCGCCUGUAAUCCCAGCUACUCGGGAGGCUGAGGCUGGCGGAUCGCUUGAGCCCAGGAGUUCUGGGCUGCAGUGGCCUAUGCCGAUCGGGUGUCCGCACUAAGCUCGGCAUCGAUAUGGUGUUUCCGAGGGAGCUUGGGAUCACCAGGUCGGCUAAGGAGGGGUGAAUCGGUCCAGGUCGGAAACGGAGCAGAUCAAAGCCCCCGUGCCGCUCAGUAGUGGGAUCGCGCCCGUGAAUAGGCGCUGCAGUGCAGCCUGGGCGAGACAGCGAAACACAGUCUUUU
rnacentral:SRP_RNA from 1 species